UACGGAGGGAGCUAGCGUUGUUCGGAAUUAUUGGGCGUAAGAGCUCGUAGGCGGUUUGUCGCGUCUGCUGUGAAAACUCGGGCUUAACUCGGCCGUGCAGUGGGUACGGCAGACUAGAGUGCGGUAGGGGAGACUGGAAUCUGUGUAGCGGUGAAAUGCGCAGAUAUCAAGGAGGAACACCGGUGGCGAAGGCGGGUCUCUGGGCCGUAACUGACGCUGAGGAGCGAAAGCGUGGGGGGAGCGAACAGG
rnacentral:rRNA from 1 species